rnacentral:rRNA from 1 species
UACAGAGGUCCCAAGCGUUGUUCGGAUUCACUGGGCGUAAAGGGGGCGUAGGUGGUCGGGUAAGUCCGAUGUGAAAUCUCCAGGCUCAACCUGGAAAUGGCAUUGGAUACUAUUCGGCUUGAGGAGUGGAGGGGGGACUGGAAUUCCCGGUGUAGCAGUGAAAUGCGUAGAUAUCGAGAGGAACACCAGUGGCGAAGGCGAGUCCCUGGACACUUCCUGACACUGAGGCACGAAAGCUAGGGGAGCAAACAGG